rnacentral:tRNA from 1 species
CCCUGAUUGGCUCAGUGGAUAGAGCAUUGACCUGCGGACUCAAAGGUCCCAGGUUCGAUUCCAAUCAAGGG